rnacentral:rRNA from 1 species
GUAACAAGGUUUCCGUAGGUGAACCUGCGGAAGGAUCAUUAUUGAAUUUUGAAGGAGCUGUUUUGCUGGCCCUUUUAACCGGGCAUGUGCACGCUUCGCUCAAUUCCAUCUCCUUACCCCUGUGCACUCAUUGUAGGUCGGUCGGAAGGCCUUCCUAUGUCCUAUUAUAAAUAACCUCAUGAUUGUCGUGGAAUGCAUCGCGUGUAACGCAUCUUUAUACAACUUUCAGCAACGGAUCUCUUGGCUCUCGCAUCGAUGAAGAACGCAGCGAAAUGCGAUAAGUAAUGUGAAUUGCAGAAUUCAGUGAAUCAUCGAAUCUUUGAACGCACCUUGCGCUCCUUGGUACUCCGAGGAGCAUGCCUGUUUGAGUGUCAUGGAAUUCUCAACUCGACCCAYCUUUUAUUAGAUGGGCUGGGCUUGGACUUGGAGGGGUGUAAUACACAUGCUGGCCCUGUGAGGGGUCRGCUCCUCUUGAAUGCAUUAGCUGGGACCUCUGUGGAUCGGCUGCUCGGUAUGAUAGUAUUUCUAUGCCGUCGCUGUGAAGCUCUUUUGGUUCGGCUUCCAACCGUCCCGUCCUGGGUACAACAUCUUUGACCUCUGACCUCAAAUCAGGUAGGAUUACCCGCUGAACUUAAGCAUAUCAAUA